rfam:Schizosaccharomyces japonicus yFS275 unplaced genomic scaffold supercont5.1, whole genome shotgun sequence.
GGCCUCGUGGCCUAGAAGUAAGGCAUUGGUUUCCGGCGGACAUCCGUUGGCUGUCAGGUGUACCAAAGAUCGCGGGUGCAAAUCCCGUCGGGGUCG